AUCCCUGGCUGAGCACUCAGGUGAUGUGACACUCCUGCUUGGCUUCUUCCCUCAGAGAAGAUUAUGAGAUAUCCAUGGCUGAAAUCCAGGGGGAAUUGUGACAUAUCACUUGGCCCAGUACCAAGCAGACCUUAAAGGCACUGUGACGUAUUGCUCGGCUCAGCAACAAGGUGACGAGAGAUCCUGUGUGGACAUUGACAACAGAGAGCAUUGUGACAUAUCUUUGGGAGCAUCAGCUAUUUGAUGUGACUCUCCUUUUAUACCAAGGCUUUGCUCAUAGGGGAGAUCGUGAUGUAUCUUCUGGCCCAGAAAUCAGGCAAUGUGUUUCUCCUGCCUGAGCUUUGCUCACAGGGAGCAUUGUGACGUAUCACUGAGCCCAGCACCCAGGUGAUGGGACUCUACUGCCUGUCCCCUGCUUUCAGGAGGAAAUUGUAACAUAUCUCUGACCAAGCACCCAGGUGAUAAGUCUUCUGCCUGGUGCCUGUUCUCAGGGAAGAUUGUGACAUAUCCCUGGCCCAGCACCCAGAUGAUGCAGAUGACGUAUCUCUCCUGCUCACUCUCUAUCCACAGGUUCUGCCCACAAAGGAGAUUGUGGCAUACUGCUGGGCCUAACACUAAGGUGAUGUUACUUCUCUGCUUUGGCUAUGUCCUUAGAAGGCAUUGAGACACACUGCUGGGCCCAGCACCAAGAUGAUGUGAGUCCUCUGCCUGAACCCUGAUCACAGGGAGCAUUGUGACAUAUUUCUUGACCCACUGCAAUCUCUCCUAUGGACAAAGCCCAGGUGUUAUGACUCUUGUCUUUUCACUGGAACCUGCCAAGAAGGGUGAUUGUGACAUAUCACUGGACCCAGCACCUUGGUGAUGUGACUCUCCUCUCCUCCUUGGGCCCUGCUUACAUUGUGUCUGUUGAAAUACGGCUGGUCCAACACCUAGAUUGAUGACAAUCAGAUUCACUUAGAGUGGAAAAAAUAUGUUGGCCCUUAUAAAAUAGUGAUUAGAAGGCCUAUGUGCGUAAUAGAACCUCAUGUGUCUUCUGCUACUAAAGUCUAACAUUACUAAAUUCAACCAGGCUUUAAUGCAUUAUGGCAAAGCACAUUUUCACCAGGUGAGGAAAGCCUUUACUAGUCUACUGACUGAGGAGAGUAAAACCCUUUAUAAUCAAGAACUCAGAGAUUGAAUCUGCCUGCCACCUACACUGAUGCAAGACUUCAAGACCUUGAACAUUGGAUUGAUAAUCUCACAACUUAGAAGGGCCCCUUCAAACUCUUGAAAUUGUAAACCCAUAGGAGAUUUUAAGGUAAAGCUAACCAGGAAAGUUUGUCCUCAAAAGCAGAUGGCCGUCUCCAUGUAGAUAGCUUUUUUCACAAGAUCAAAAAUCAAGACAUCUCGUUAUCAUGACACUCUUAGUUCACAGUUUGUUUAUGGUUCUACAAACCACGGAAAUUUUAAAAAGUGGUCUCUUGUGUGCAGUCAUGGGGGUAUACUUAUAUGUAGAGAAUUUUGCAGCCAACAUUAUGUAUGAGGAAACUUAUUCCUUGAAAGGUAAAAGAAGAAGGGCCAAUGUAGGUGAGAAGUUUUAAUGAAACAUUUGUUUUCUCACAAUAUCAAAAACAGAAUAUUGGUCCACUGCUCUUAACCUAUUUCAUAAGUUAAAAAGAACUUAUUCAGAAUAGGUUAAAGAGCAUUGCCAGGAGGCCAUUACUCUUCUGAAUGGGUAUCACUGUUUAGAGUAAAUGAGGCAAUGGUUACAAAUUGAUCCCUCUCAAUAGGGCUCUAUAGCAGAUUAUACCAUAAAAACUAUGCUUACACAAUAGACUUUAAGUUUUCUCACAAAGUUAUGCUAAAUAUAAUUUCUUUUGAUUACUUACUGGAUAAAUAGAUAUCUGUGCAGUUGCUAAUAGUUGCCCAUGGAGAACUACAGCCGGUAUUACAGAGAUGCAGUUGUAGAUGAUUCAUGAACAGGCUGAUUAGAUGAAAUGAGUAGAUCAUUUAUCUAGCUAACUAUUUGAUCUAUUUAAUUUUAAUUGGUUGUUCAUGGGGACCCUGGCUAAAAAGCAUGCUUCAAACUCUUGGUAUUAUCCUCCUGAUACUCAAAAUGGUAAUCUUCCUACUGCACUGUAUUCUCUCAAAAGAUAUAAACGUUUGAAUGUAGUCAUCUGUAGAAUGUCAAAUGGUCUCUCUUUAACUGGAAUGACAGAAACUCAAAGACAUAUGUGACUAUGAAGACAGCACAACCUAUGAAUGACAUGCUAAGGACAAAAAACAAAAAUAAUGGAAACUGAGAGUGGCACUAAAGCCCCGAGUUUUGGUUACACUGUGACCUAUGUAAGAACUUAACCAAACGGGGAAUUUUUUAAAGAAAACUAUUGGAGGCCAUAAUUCUGGACUGAGCUUAUGCACUAGGUCCAAACAAACCAAACCAAAAUGAGUCACUCAUGCUGGAUGUGACAUAAUUAAACUAAAAAUUUAAGGCAACAGGUAGAUUCUAAAACUGGCCAGGUUUUGUUUUUCUUCUCUAAAUAGCAGAUUUCAACACAAGGAGGUCCCCUGUACUCUAACACUUU